AUGCUCCCUUCAGCAGCACAUAUACUAAAAUUGGAAAAAUACAGAGAAGAUUAACAUGACCCCUGCGCAAGGAUGGCACACAAAUACAUGAGGUGUUCAUAUUAUGA
ensembl:snRNA U6 U6 spliceosomal RNA